AGAAUAUGGAUCCAGAGUGGUGUUUUCUCCAAGGCGUACAAGGGCUCCAUAUUUUCAUGUACUGAGGAUCAAAUCCAGGACCUUGUACAUGCUAGAGCUGCUGGACCUUCCAUCAAGUCAGCCGCCCUGUGUGACCACACAGGUGAACAGAGACUUCAUGCUCUAGAAUUAGAGACAGGGAAAGACUGGGAAUAAGUUAAGGGCUAUCCCAAAAAGUGCGUCUGGAAGAAGUCUUCCCUGAUCCCCUCUACCAAGGGUGAAGUAUGACAUCUCCUCACUUUGAACCUUUCUCGCUCUGAGAAGGUCAUACACUGUUUUCUCAGAAUUAUAUCAUAACCCUGUAGCCCUUAGCCUGUCACAUCAACAGAGACAACUGAACAGGACACAGAAAUCAAUUAAGGAGAUUUUAUUGAUGCACUAGGAUGGGUGGGGCAGUGGACAGAGAGUGGAGAUAGAAGUAGCUCUGAGAACCCUGCGAGAUGGGGGAGUUCAGCACAGAGGGAGGGCCUGCUCCAGGUAUCUCUGCUCCUGAGAAAGUCCACAGAGCAAAGCAGCACAAGAGGAGCUCAGGACAGAAAGCACCUGGCAGAAAUGAUGUGUUGGGAGAGACCUGAAAGGGAAGCACCGUGAUUAGGAGCUGACGACCAAGGACGUGCCCGUCGGCUGGCCAGGGCAGGACAGCAAAGGGCUCUUCAGCAGGCUUCUGUCCUGGAAAUCGGAGUCGGGAAGAGUCAUGGCUUGCUGCCCCUGAAGUAGGAAUACAGCGCCUUGGCUGCGACGCCCGGCUGCCUUCCUGGUUGGCCUGCGUCCGGGGCCUGUGACGACGGA